UCUGGUAGAACCAACAAGAGCACUGGGCAAAAAUGCAACUUUGGAUACUGGAAUUUCAACUCUAAGAGGAAGUGAAUCCCCAUCCCUUGUGACGGAGCAGAGGAGCAAGCAGGAUCAGGUUGAUAGAUGAGACGGAUAGAGUAUGGGUACCGGAGAUGAGCCAGAUCGCCAGAUGGCGAGGAUGAAAAUUGAAAAGGGAGGCACAGAUGGACGUCAUGAGGAUCUGGC
rnacentral:lncRNA from 1 species